rnacentral:rRNA from 1 species
UACGAAGGGGGCUAGCGUUGUUCGGAAUUACUGGGCGUAAAGGGCGCGUAGGCGGUCCUGAUCGUCGGAUGUGAAAGGCCUGGGCUCAACCUGGGAAUGGCAUCCGAUACGGCGGGACUGGAGUGUGGGAGAGGUUGGUGGAAUUCCCAGUGUAGAGGUGAAAUGCGCAGAUAUCAGGAAGAACACCCGUGGCGAAGGCGGCUCUCUGGGACGGUACUGACGCUGAGACGCGAAAGCGUGGGGAGCGAACAGG